ACGAUCUGCGCAGUAACGGUGAACCUUGAGCUGAGAUAAAUGUCAUAAUUGUAAAAGUUUAACAAAGUGCUGGAAAAACUCAGCUGGUCUGGCAGCAUCUGUGGAAACAGAAACAGAGUCCGCAUGACUUCUUCAAAGCUAAAGAGAGCUUGGAGUGGAGGGGCAGCAGGAGUGAAUGCGACUGCACCGGAAGAUGAUGAUAUCAUCCACUGAGGGACAGAGUGGGCAACUGCCCCCGAAAAUGUGGUCUCGGAAACACCAGCUGAGGUUGUUGGGCUAUGAUGCUCAACCUGUCAAAGAAGGCCUCCUGAGAGACUUGACCUGUAAAUUGUUAUUGUGGAAAUAGUUAAUGUGUUUUAAGCUUGUUAGCUGUACUUUUAAGUAAAGGGGGAGGGACGUGGUAAAUUGAGGUACCCUGCCCCUUUAAGAGAAUGCAAGUGUACUGAUCAUGUGACAGCACUGAUGAAUCACUGUACAUCUGGGGGCAACUGUGGGCAACUGAGAACUGGAAGUCUAGUUCUGGAGGUUUCUGAGUGAGCAUAUAUGAUCUGGUGCUGUGCCCUAUGUCUCAAUAAACCAUCGCUGUUUAUUCUUACAUCAGUCUCUCCCUGUUAUUGAUCACAAGCAGCAAUUGAUGAGAACAUAGGAAGGCAUGCAAUUAGAGUUCGGUUAACCAAUUAACUAAUUUAUCCAAGACAUAAAAGUGGCGGUUUUUUGAGGAGAGGGUUGAUAAUAGAACAUUUAAAGGAGAAGGGGACAGCACCUGAAGAGAGAGAACCAUUAACAAUAUCAGUUAACAUGGGGACGAGGCAGGGAGAUUGGAUGAUCAGCAGUGCAGUGGGAAUAGGGUCGAGGAAGCAAGAAGUAGGUCUCAUUUUUACUUACCUGUAACAAAUUCCACGAUUCCUCCUGUUGGAUAAUGGUUUUAUUCUUUUUGGCGCCUGUUUUGAAGAUCUCCCUUCAUUCCCUCCCAUGUAAGACAGAAGUUCCGCCCUACUCGGUUGGCUAUUGUAGCUGCCCCAAUGCUGGUCGCUGAUUGGUCACUUUGAGUUUCAUGUUUAAAAACAAGGCUGGAAGCCAGAGUGCACAUUUCAGUUACUCCAUCAAACAUUAAAGGUGAAGAGAAAAGCAGGUAAGAUAAUUUUGGCGCAAACAAGCCAUCCAGUGGGUGGAGAAGGAGAACUUUUAAAAAGAUCAUAUGGGAGGAAAGGAAUGGUCAAAGUUAACAAUUUCUGAUCUUUGAUUUUUCACAAAUCCAUGCGAUCAGAUUCUAAGAGCCACUGUAAUAGAUUUUAAAAGUUGCUGCCCUCUAAGCAGGGGAGGGGAGAGGGAAAUUGGUUGGCUGAGUGGAGAUAUAGAGGGGUAAAAUGGAGACAUGGUUAUAUUCUUGCAACUCAGGAGAGAAGAGCUCUUUUGGCACUGCUUUCUUAAACCAAUCCAAUCCAUAACUUUAGGAUCCAAGAAUGGCUGGUGCAGCAAAAGUUUGCUUACACUCGAUUCCUGGAUGAUAAGCAAGUCUGCAGGAUUGUGUCCAGUAAAGAGGACAUUAAAAAGUAUGAUCCUGAGACCCACCAUGAGUAUAAGGUCUACAAGGUACGGUGGGUGCCGACAAGUGUUGAUGUUUCAAUUGACUAUGAUUCUGGAAAGAAGAACCGGAUGGGGGAUGAUGUCUUUUAUGAGGCAUAGAUCCUUUUGCUUGGAGCAUCCCGCGAGGGCCUCAAGGAGCAGAUGACGUCCACACUCAUUCAAAUACCAAAGGUUUGGGACACUAGUGUGGAAAGUGACACCAGUACAAAUAAUGUACCCCUCGCAACCCUACAAGCAAAGAGCACUAGAAGAUGCUAUUGCGACCAGGGUAUAUGUGCAGCUCCCAACGCAUUCUUUGUCAUUGUGUUAGCUGAUGUUGUAAUCUCACUGACCUGUAUGAACAACAAUGUGCCUCUAAGCAAAGAGUGCAUGGAACUUGUAUACCAGCUCAUGUCAAAAAUGCCAACAAGCUUGCGAACAUCUCAAUUCUUUUUCCUGAUAGAAGGAUAAGAUUGCCCAAGCAGAGGUGGCCCAAAGCAAGAAGCUGCAAAGCGUGAUGUCCCAAAUUCUAGCAGCCAAGAUUGUUACAGCUAGUGCUUCCAGGGUAGAAACGUAUUUGGAGCAUUGCGUAGAACCUGCCAACAACUGGGAAGAGCUACUAACCGUUCAGAAGCUGCAGGCAGAGAAGGCAGCUCCCUAGCAGAAGCUGGAGGAGUUUUCUGAGAUCAAUCAAGGCCUCCAAGAAAGGUUGCAGAAAGUACCGAAGCUCAACUGCAAGCUCCAGGACCAACCUCUCAACACCUACAUGCAGACCUGGGGACCACAGCAAUCACGUGUGUGGACACAGCAGCCCAUGAUGCCUUUCUGAGCAACAACCCUGCCCAAGCCUGCACAGAUUGAAGCCGCACCCACAUUUAUUCGCACAGUCGGGGAGGCAAGCACACACGCAGAGGUUCAAUUGCAGGGUGGUGUGGAGCUCACUGAGCGGCAGUGAUCUCGUGUAACAACCCAGAGGACAAAUUCCCUAUUUGUUAAGUCCCUGACUAUGGCUGUGUGGGGCUUUGACAUGCUCAGAGGCAGCUCCAUAUAUGGUUGUGUCUGCCCAUGUUUCAUUACAGUGGCACAGAGCAAACAGCUAAGCCCGCGCUCUCACCCAGGAAAAUGAGUGCUGUCAAAGCAUGUUUCACUCAUCAUUUGAAGAAGAGGUUGGGUGAGAAUAAGGUCACAAAGGAGCAAGCAAAGCUGAACAGCUACAUUUCAGAAAAAAUCAUGGAUCUGAACCAGAAAAACAAAUUGGCCUGAAAUGAGUUGGCAUAAUGUUCAUGUGUUUUCCUCCUUAUUCUCCUGGAAUAACGUAAUUGUUGCCCCCUUUCCCAAGACCAUUAUUUAGCACUUUUUUCCAGUGAUCAAUGUUGAAUUUUAAAUUU